CAGCUGUGGCGCUCGAUGGGCUAAAUACAGGAUUUGAUUUUAACAGGUCACCACAUUUAAUUUCAGCAAAAUUACUGCAUCUGACUGCAAAAUACGCUGCGCAGUGGAUGAGCCGCAGUGCGCAGCUCUGUGGCGCUGACAGUGACUGCAGGUCUGACCGGAUAUCCUUCCUUUGGUCUUGGAGAGAGACAAGCAGGAGCAAUGCAAGCCUCCCUGCUCCUCUUGACAUCUCAACAGAAUGAACACUUCUUCACGAUUAAUCUUCACAACCUUUGUGGGCAAUGAAGUGCUGAUGAAGAUGGCUGAUUCUAACUAUGACUGGUACACCUGAUGAGAUGUCAGGUCACCACUGUAAACUACAGAUCGUCACAUGGCAGUCCUCCCUGUAUGGACGUUAAGAUGUCCUGCUGUGGUCACUGGAGAUGCACCACGUUUAAUCUUUUGUCUCCUGUGCUGGAGGAGAUAAACAGCAGUGAUGGAGAAAAGCAUUAGUGUCAGCGUUGUCUCAUCUCUGAUAAGGAGCACCAGCAGCAGUAAUGGAGAGACAUGAGUGUCUGCAUUCUCUUAUCUCUGGGAUUGGACCAGUAGCCAGUUCACUGGUCUGCAUGGCUCGGGAAUUCAGGAAAGCCUCGUUUGACCAUGUUCAUCGAGGCGUUAGACCAAGAUUUGGAGGCUUUGCCACAUCUGCGUGAUCAAAGUCUCAUUCAUCAUUAAUAAAACUUGUUUGCUAUGAAAACA